rnacentral:lncRNA from 1 species
AUGGUCAGCCGGGGCCAAGGGAUAUUUUUAGAGGACAAAAGGAAUUUGCUGGGAACACACAAUUCUUUCUGGAGCCUGUGGAAAAGGCACUGGAUGCUCCUGGCAGUGUGGAUGCUCAAGGUGCCAGGGGAGGGGGCAGUGGGGGCACUCCAGGGGGGCACAGCCCCAAAUUCCACCCCAGGGUUUGCAGGAGGGACGGAUGGCAAAGGCAGGCAGGACCCAAAAUGGGACAUGGCUGCAUGCAGGGCCACAGGGCAGGGCUGUGUGCUGGGAGAAACCACUCUGGAGGCUGCACUGAUGCUGCUUCCCCGUGGAAAACAGCCUCUUCAUCAUCAUCAUCAUCAUCAUCAUCAUCUUCAUCAUCAUCAUCUUCAUGGAAUCCCAGAAUGGUUUGGGUUGGAAGGGACCUUAAAGCCCAUCCUGCCAUGGGCAGGGGCACCUUCCACCAUCCCAGAUUGUUCCAACCUGGCCUUGGACACUUCCAGGGAUCCAGGGGCAGCCACAGCUUCUCUGGGCACCCUGUGCCAGGGUCUUCCCAUCCUCACAUCAGGAAUUCCUUCCCAAUCUCCCAUCCAUCCCUGCCCUGUGGCAGUGGGAAGCCAUUCCCCCUUGCCUUGGCACUCCACAGCCUCUCCCAGUGAGAGGAUAAAUCCAGGAAGGAUCAAGAGAUGCUCCAGGAACUGGAAAUGGGCACCUGGAAAGGUUGUGGGUGUUGGUACCUUCCACAGCUGUCCUUGGCUAGAGGAAGGAGGUGCCAGGAUCAGCAAACCUGGUCCAAAAUCACAUGGAAAAGAAACGGCCAAUUAUGUUGUGAGUUUAAUUAGCACCACUGGGAGAUGGGAGGGUGGUCCUGUGGAGGACAAAGGCAGCACAAACAUUCCACCAGACACUGCAGAAUCCACGUGUACCACCCAAAACCAUCAACUCAGGAUCCUGAACCAAUGCUGUGGAGCUUCCCCUGGGAGCUGCUCCCAAAUCCCCAUCCCAUUAUCCCUAAGGAGCAGAGGAGGGAUGAAAGGGAAGCAGAGGAUGGGCUCACUCAUCACACAGAGUGCUGCCCAUCCCCUGCCCCAGGUGGGGAGCAGGAUUGGGGUUCUGGGGGACUGGGACAGGCUCUGCCCCCCUCCAGCUCCACCAUGA